AUAGGUCGCGAACGUUAUCCGGAAUUAUUGGGCGUAAAGGAUGCGUAGGUGGUUCGGUAAGUUACUGGUGGGAAAUCGAGGCUCAACCUCGUGGAAGUCAGUAAUACUAUCGAGCUUGAGUGCAGGAGAGGUUAAUGGAAUUUUAUGUGGAGCGGUAAAAUGCGUAGAUAUAUAAAAGAACAUCAAUUGGCGAAGGCAGUUAACUAUUCUGCUACUGACAUUGAGGCAUGAAAGCGUGGGGAGCAAACGGAUUAGAUACCGUGUAGUCCACGCCCUAAACGAUGAGUGCUGGAUAUUGGGAACUUGAUUCUCAGUGUCGCUAGGUAACCCGGUAAGCACUCCGCCUGGGGAGUACGCUCGCAAGAGUG
rnacentral:rRNA from 1 species